rnacentral:rRNA from 1 species
AUACAGAGGGUGCGAGCGUUAAUCGGAAUUACUGGGCGUAAAGCGCGCGUAGGCGGCUUGGUCAGUCGGAUGUGAAAGCCCCGGGCUCAACCGGGGAAUGGCAUUCGAUACUGCCAGGCUAGAGUAUGGGAGAGGGAAGUGGAAUUUCCGGUGUAGCGGUGAAAUGCGUAGAUAUCGGAAGGAACACCAGUGGCGAAGGCGACUUCCUGGCCCAAUACUGACGCUGAGGUGCGAAAGCGUGGGGAGCGAACAGGAUUAGAUACCCUAGUAGUCC